rnacentral:RNase_P_RNA from 1 species
UAGGGCAGGACGAAUGGUCGCUGUUCUAUGGUUAUCAUAGAAGGGAGGAAAGUCCGGGCUCCGCAGGGCAAGAUGCUGGGUAACGCCCAGUCCCGGCAACGGGAAGGAAAGUGCCACAGAAAAUAUACCGCCCUCUCAGGUGAUCGAUACAUUUGAUUGGGUAAGGGUGAAAAGGCGAGGUAAGAGCUCACCGCUCCGAUGGUGACAUCGGAGGCUCGGUAAACCCCAUCUGGAGCAAGGCCAAAUAGAAGGACGUUUGAGGGCUGCCCGCCCGAGUCCUUGGGUAGGUCGCUUGAUCCCGCCGGCAACGGCGGGGCUAGAUGAAUGACCAUUGCCCCGUAGAGGGUGACCGACACGGGGAACAGAACCCGGCUUAUGGACUGCUCUAACAU